GCUUCUACUGCAACUGGUAGUAGCGAAGCAAAAAAGCCGAAAAAGAACAAUGUCAAUGAGCAGCAGAAGCCUUUUGAGUUUGCCUUGACAAACUAUGGGGAUGAAGAUGAGUGCGACGAAUACAUGAUUACCAGCAAUAACAUCAUGCUUAGAGGAUUUGUUAAUCUGAUGACCACAGACAGUGAAUCAAACGUACAUUCGAGCAAAAAUUGGCGAGGCAAUUAGACUGAAAUAUCCUUUGGUUAGAAACAAUGAUUUUGUGUUUCUUCGUGCGAAUCGUCGUAAAUUGAGUAUACCAGUUACUUCUCAAGAGUAUUCCUUCAAGCAAGUGAAACUGCUUGCUGGCCAGGGUGCCAUUUAUAUCAAAAUGAAAGAUGGGUUAAAUUGUUUUUGAGGAAGAAGACAGAACUGCCCACCCGAAAUGUGUUCAUUUUGUUGAACCGCUCAAAGAAAUAAAUAUAGUUGCAUAAUGGGAGGGGGAGGGGUUGGUUGAUUGGUGGUCAUACUUGGAAUUGAUCGAGACGUAAACGUUAUAUAAUUUGUG
rnacentral:lncRNA from 1 species